rnacentral:tRNA from 1 species
GGUGCGAUAGGUGAGGGCUACUUCCUCUGCAAAAGGAGAGACGCGGGUUCGAAUCCCGCCGCCA